AUGCAGCUGGAGGAGGAGCAGAAACUGCAUCUAGAGCACACGCUGGCCUGGCUGAGGAGAGAACUGUCAGAGAUGCAGCUCCAGGAUCAGCAGCUGCUGGAGAAGCUGUUACAGCUGCACACCAGCAUGCAGGAGCUGAAAGUGGAAUGCGCUUACUGGGAGAGUUCAGAUCCGAGCAGGGAGACGAUCCGCGCCAGAGCUCGGUCCAGUUCAGAAGACAUGGGUGCUCCAGUUCCCACCGGAGGCUCGACUCCAUCCCUGAAAGGAGAGACAAGCAGGAGGAACUCCAUCCCAUAAGGCAGCUCAAGCUAUUUGGGGAACAGAAUUGAUGGUCAGGUCAAUGUUAAAGCCCUCUGGAAAUAACAAAUCAUCGCUCUCUUUUUUUUAAUGGCCAUCCUGAGGCAUAAAUUGUGACUGCUUCUUUUAGGGCUGAGCUGGUCACUGCCACGCAGAGAUUCUCUCCAUGAACUGAAUCAAGGGUCUGAAACACUCUCCAUCGAUCGGUGUUACUGCCACGUCAGUAUUGGUGUCUUCAGCCUAGCUGAUCACGAUGGUCCUGGCCCACAGGCCUCCUUCAGUGGACACCAGGGAAUGUUUUCUACUCAAACGCCCUUUCUGGGAAACAUCUCAACAUGCACAAUAAAAGACUGCCCCAGGCGUGCGUGUUUCA
rnacentral:lncRNA from 1 species